rnacentral:pre_miRNA from 14 species
UCUCUGGAGACGAGAGUGGUUGCCGAUCUCAGAUGAACCCCCAAAUGAAAGACUCCCGGAGCAAGGAGACCCUCACUCAAGCCUCAGGAUGAUGGGACCCCCCAAGAACUCACGUGAGACC